GAUGAACGCGGGCGGCGUGCCUAAUACAUGCAAGUCGAGCGAACAGACGAGGAGCUUGCUCCUCUGACGUUAGCGGCGGACGGGUGAGUAACACGUGGAUAACCUACCUAUAAGACUGGGAUAACUUCGGGAAACCGGAGCUAAUACCGGAUAAUAUAUUGAACCGCAUGGUUCAAUAGUGAAAGACGGUUUUGCUGUCACUUAUAGAUGGAUCCGCGCCGCAUUAGCUAGUUGGUAAGGUAACGGCUUACCAAGGCAACGAUGCGUAGCCGACCUGAGAGGGUGAUCGGCCACACUGGACCUGAGACACGGUCCAGACUCCUACGGGAGGCAGCAGUAGGGAAUCUUCCGCAAUGGGCGAAAGCCUGACGGAGCAACGCCGCGUGAGUGAUGAAGGUCUUCGGAUCGUAAAACUCUGUUAUUAGGGAAGAACAAAUGUGUAAGUAACUAUGCACGUCUUGACGGUACCUAAUCAGAAAGCCACGGCUAACUACGUG
rnacentral:rRNA from 1 species